rnacentral:rRNA from 1 species
ACACGUGGGUAACCUGCCCAUAAGACUGGGAUAACUCCGGGAAACCGGGGCUAAUACCGGAUAACAUUUUGAACCGCAUGGUUCGAAAUUGAAAGGCGGCUUCGGCUGUCACUUAUGGAUGGACCCGCGUCGCAUUAGCUAGUUGGUGAGGUAACGGCUCACCAAGGCAACGAUGCGUAGCCGACCUGAGAGGGUGAUCGGCCACACUGGGACUGAGACACGGCCCAGACUCCUACGGGAGGCAGCAGUAGGGAAUCUUCCGCAAUGGACGAAAGUCUGACGGAGCAACGCCGCGUGAGUGAUGAAGGCUUUCGGGUCGUAAAACUCUGUUGUUAGGGAAGAACAAGUGCUAGUUGAAUAAGCUGGCACCUUGACGGUACCUAACCAGAAAGCCACGGCUAACUACGUGCCAGCAGCCGCGGUAAUACGUAGGUGGCAAGCGUUAUCCGGAAUUAUUGGGCGUAAAGCGCGCGCAGGUGGUUUCUUAAGUCUGAUGUGAAAGCCCACGGCUCAACCGUGGAGGGUCAUUGGAAACUGGGAGACUUGAGUGCAGAAGA